CCAGCUCUUGACGACCUGAUGACAAGACUUCACAAGCUGAUUGCGAGUCCUUACACGUAUCACACAAGUUCUGUAAUGCUGGAUUUGGACAAGUUGGAAAUGCACGUUCUGGAGAAGCAACUGGUGUAAGCAGGAGCUUUUUGUGGUACAUCUUGAGUUCGUUGCCUGAGGACCAGGUUAAGUUGUAGCAAUCAUUCAAAGACUGCAAUGUAAACAAACCCUCAUGAUUUCCAAAGAGCAGGCUUUCUUGUUGCUUUGAUAAGGUUAUCAAUUUUAUUUUCAGUCUCUAUUUCAAGUGAGUAUGAAGGUGCCCAAAUUUACGUGAGGAAUUUAUCCUUUUUUGGCGGGAGUUUCAAUUAGUAACCUUGGUUGGAAGUGUCACAUUUCCAACUUAAUUUUUUUACCAUCUCUUGCUUCUCCAAAUUCCUCAGGAUAGUUCUAUAGGAAAUCCAGGAGUUAUACUGCCCAGAGCAGCGAUCUAUUUUCUUAAUGUAACUUGUGAGAAUUUGAAGAGAUUUCUGACAGGGUAUAUACUAUGCUUUGAACAGCAUAAGGUUGGACCGUUGAUAAAGUAGGUCAAACACAUCGUAGCUUUUAUUCCAUUUUCAAAACCUUGAUGCUUCAAUUUCCUAUCGUUUCGUUUCCAUGGAUGAUUCGACUAUUGUUUCAGACUGAUAAGUAGAUGCAAAAAAUCAAUAUGACCUAGACUUUUACCAAGUGCCUUAGUAUUUACUCUUGAGAAUUUCAAUAGAUUUUUGACACUCUUCUCAACAGAUAAAGUGUUUACAUUCAAGCAUCGAAUUCCCUCCGGAAGGAAAGUUAUACCUUUUGAGAUGGCAUUAUUUCCGCUUGAUUUCUAGGUUAAAGCCAUUAAUCUUAAAGAAACUUAAAGUCCUGUAGAAAACAAUUUAAAAAAUUUUGAAUUUUGAGAGAGUGAUUCAUGCCAUCAUUUAAAAGUUCACAGCCGGCUCUAGUUUAAAGAAUCGAGUAUUCCGAGUAAUUUUAAAUUCCCUUGAUGAAAGGUUUAAAAAAUUUGAAGUUGUAUCGUAAUUCAUCAUGAUGCCCCAUGAAAGAAAACAAAAACACUCACACAGCCUUUCAUUUUUGGCUCUAAAGCUCUGAACUAUGUUUUCCAAGAGAUCUAUGAUACUCUUGAUGUAGGAGUAAGUGCCAAAAUUUUGAGGAAUUCAAAACCAAAGAAUAAUCCUCAAUAAUAGCAUUAAUUCCACUUGGUUCCUGAGCUUGCAGCUACUUGAAGUUGUGUCUUAAUUGAUUGUGGUGUCCCAUGAAGGAAAACAAAAACACAGCCUUUCAUUUUUGGCUCUAAAGCUCUUAACUGAGUUUUCCAAGAGGUCUAUGAUACUCUUGAUGUAGGAGUAAGUGCCAAAAUUUUGAGGAAUUCAAAACCAAAGAAUAAUCCUCAAUAAUAGCAUUAAUUCCACUUGGUUCCUGAGCUUGCAGCCAUUUGAAGUUGUGUCUUAAUUCAUUGUGGUGUCCCAUGAAAGAUAACAAAAACACUUACACAGCCUUUCAUUUUUGGCUCUAAAGCUCUUAACUGAGUUUUCCAAGAGGUCUAUGAUACUCUUGAUGUAGGAGUAAGUGCCAAAAUUUUGAGGAAUUCAAAACUAAAGAAUAAACCUCGAAAAUAGCAUUAAUUCCACUUGGUUCCAGAGCCUGCAGCCAUUUGAAGUUGUGUCUUUAUUCAUCAUGGUGCCCCAUGAAAGAUAACAAAAACACUUAC
rnacentral:lncRNA from 1 species